AUGCAUUUCACAGGGGCAACCAUGGUAUGGCUAGAGAACAAUGAGUUCGACUUGCGCCAUAUGGAGUGGGAAUUUUUUUGCUCUGUGGUCUAUGGACAGUUCGAGAGGAACGAGUUCAGUGGCCUGUCGCGUCAGUUAUUUCAUUUGCGGCAGACAGACUCAGUGUCAGACUAUACUGCUAGAUUCACCGAGAUUAUGCAUUCCUUGCUUGCAUAUAGCACUACCUGGGAUCAUGCUCUGUUCCCAUCUCGUUAUGUCGAUGGGCUUAGAGAUGAGAUUCGUGUUGUUGUUUUAGUGCAUAAUCCAAAAGACCUCGACACUGCUGUUUCUCUCGCUUUCUUACAGGAAGAGGCACUGGAGAUUUCCAAGCGGCGCGAGCCUCGGCGCUGGGAAGGGGGCUCAGGUGGUGGGCAGAGCAUCCGCUCCCGUCUCCGGGGGGCCAUGCCCCUUCCUGCACCUCCUGGGCGACCACCUCCCGCGGCAACAACAGCCACGGACGACCGCCGCGGGGCAACGACAGACAGUUCCCGGAGCGAAAACACGGUCGAAGAUCGCCUCUCCGCGCUCAAGGCCUAUCGUCGGGCCAAGUGGCUAUGUUAUCUCUGUGGAGAGAAGUGGGGCAGAGAGCACAAAUGCGCAACAACAGUUCAACUCCAUGUUGUCCAAGAGAUGUUCGAUGUGCUGGGUUUCUCAGGCCUACCAACCAGCGAAGAGCGAUCAGACUCAGAAAGUGAGUGCCACACCAUCUCAAGAGCUGCGACGCAAGGUACAGUAGCCCCGCAAACCAUCAGAUUGCAGGGGAAGAUUCAAUAG
rnacentral:rRNA from 1 species